GCCUUAUGGCCACGUGGGGCUUUUAAUCAAUCUUCCUGGCUCAAGAUGUGUGAAGGAGAGUGCUGAUUAGCCCGGGCUGAUAAACCACCAGCACUCUUGAAUUGUUUAUCCCCGUUAAUCUGCUUUGAGACCAUGACAGCCACUGUUGAGGCAAGCUUUUGGUAGUUUCAGCAGGGAGUACAAUGUUUUUUGGUACUAAGGGAGGGAAAGAAAAGUUUCCUAUAACUGUACAGGAGAGGAAAGAAAGAGAACCCCCUAAGCCUUGUGCCUACUUAGCCAGACCUAAAUGAGAGUGAGAUUACACAGCAUUAGUUUUUCUUUUGCUCCCUAGGCUGAAGAAGAGCAAGAGAGAAUAAGAGGAAAGCAAGUAUUCGACAAUAUUUGCAGCCAGCUGGAACAAAAAGUGGGGAAAAACUGCCACCAAGAAUGGAGUUACCAUCCACAGAUACAAAAUACGCAUCAUGCUCACACAAGUGGACACUGAGGUUUGCUGCUCCACCACCACUACGUGAGGACAAAGUGAAGGAGGCAGAUGUAAACAUCCUACACUCAGUACAUCAGGGAGAAGUUGUGGUUCUGUCUUCUCCAUCACCAAAACAGAGAACUGGAAAUGUAACAUUAAAGAAGUGCUAAAACCUAGUCCUUGAACAAUUUUUCCUUUCAAGAUGUGUUUUCUCUCUUAAAGCACGUUGUCUUUCUGCAUGCCCUUAUAUUACUUUUUCAUACGUGCCUCCCAAUAAAGAUGUCUGAAUGCUUACAUAUUUUUUCACUAUCUCCUCUUUCCUGUUUGUUCCUAGUGUCUUUUGUGGUCCAUUAGCUAGGUGAAAAAUAACAAACCAAGUCCAUGCUACAGGGAACUCAGCUCUGCAAAGCUGGGGAGUGCUCUGCCUCUGCCAGUGGACAACCCAGAGAACCAUCAGCUUUCUUUUAUACUCACUUCUAACCAGGCUUCUAAUGGUAGGUACCUCAAACAUCACUCUCCCUGAACUUCUCAUGCAGUCCUGGUUCCCAAGGCCUAACUAAACUAAGUUUCAAAGGCUGAAAAUGUGAAUACCCUCUUCAAAGACAAGGUAUAGCAGAUUUUAUCAUAUACAAAUUCUAUUUUGGAUUUUAUCAGUUCUUUGUCAGCAGCUCGGAAUCAGGGAGAGAACUUUUCCACUUGCUGGUAAAUGAUACAAACACACUGGGCUGCUGUAUAGGACUGCUAUUGCUGUCAAAACUCUUUGCCUUGGAAGUCAUCCAAUUUCAUUCUACCAUGGUAUCAAUGUGAGCUUAUCUCAGUCACAGAUGUCCAUUCCUCUCUUAUAGUUUUAUAGAAGUCUGCUAAAAUUACAGCUUUUAUAUAAAGUCCAGUACAGUAAAUAAAAAUACCCCAAAAAGUUUCCACUGACUGUACAAAUUGUGAAAACACAAGUGUUAUUUAACAGCCUGACAGGAAUUUCCAACAUCAUCCUUUUUGUGAACACUAAACAC
rnacentral:lncRNA from 1 species